GCUACCAGCCAUAUCACCCUGCAACUCACAACUGGCAUCCCACUGAAGCUCAGCAGGUGUGAGCCUGGUCAGUACUCAGAUGGGAGACCUUCUGGGAAAAACAGGUUGCUGGUGAAG
rnacentral:rRNA from 1 species